AGAGCAGUGGUUUGUUAGCUGUGUUGUGGAUAAGGAGUAAGAGUCAGUGCUGCAAAGAGCUGCCCAUGAGGAAUCACUCAAAGAUACCUUCAAAUAAAAGGCUCCCUCAAUGGAACUCUCCCUCUGCAUUGAUCUAGUAAGAAUGCUGACAGCAUCCUAAUUCCACAGACUUUUAUAAGGUUCAGGUGUUUGGCUGAAUGAUGUCUAUUUCCACGGUGUCACAGAAAUAUUGCUGUGCUGAAGUUAAAUACAAAUGUGCUCUCACU